AGCCCCGGCUCCAGACCCAAGGAUGCGGAGACCAGUGACAACUCUCCAGACUCCAAGUCCAAAGACAACAGCAGUGGACCCUAGAACCGUCCAGACGACUCUCUGCAAAGGAAGGACAAAGCCGAAGGAUAAACACGGCCUCAUUUCCAUACUUACUGAUCUUGUGAUGCUACUCGUGAGCCCUUGCAAGUUACAAAUGAAGAUCCCUCUGCCACCAGGAGAUGCGGUGGCAUCUGGUCCAGACGGCAAUGCCCUACCCGCUCCUUCCUGUCUUUCCCUCCAUUCUAGCUCCUCUGAAAUAGUUUUCCGACCUCCCGCUGGCUCCAUCCUUUAAAAACACAGAUCUGCUCAUGCCGUUUCUCCUGUUUUAAGCCUCAAGGAUUUCGAUUUUUCCUAAGGUAUUUAAAGAAAUAGCAAAGUCUUUACAUCAACCUCAGGUGCAGCAGACCUGACCUUGCUCAUCCUCUGGUCUCUUCACACCUGAUCCAGCCACUCAGGUCUGAGUCCCGUUCCUGAGAUCAGCCUCGUUCCCUCCGGUCUCGAGGUUUCAUCUAAGGAUGUUCCUUUUGUUAGGGCUUUCCCCCCUUCCCUGCCCUACUUCCUCCAUUGCUUCUCUCUCUUGCCUGAGCCACUAAUGAUCCAAUUCAUGGUUUUUGAUGAAUGUCUAGAAUCCUGCUGGUUGAAAAAAAAAAAACAAGCUCAACCUAAAAGUUGAGAGUUAUGUUUUAUUUGGUGGACAUUCAAGCCCAGGCCACAGCCUCGCAGAUGAUGCUGAGAAACUGUUCCAAAGAGGUGGGGCAGGGAGCCAGGAGACACAGGAGUUUUUGCAACAAAAGACCAGGAAGUUGGAACAUCAAAGGAUUACUAUUACUAAAAGAAAACCAGAUAUCUCAGGUUUAGGAAUUUAUGGUUUUUCUCUAUAUGGGAAGAUGCAAGAGUCUGGACUCCCUGAAAUCCUUCCUUUGACAGGCACCUCAGCUCUCUGGGGCCAGUAUCUGGGCUUUGUCUCAUCCAGAGUCUCCUAGGUGGGCACAGUUUGGGGUGACUGCAGCAGCUGACUGCUAGAUGGCGGGCAUCCUACUUCCAUCCUGAGUUCCCUCAGGGCUCACCAUCUGGGCUGUGUGAUGCCAUGGCUUGAAAGCUGCAACAUCCUUUGUUUACUGAUACAGGCAGGUAACAUUUUAGUUCUCAUCCCCUUGAGCUGUAAGCUCUGGGACUGGA
rnacentral:lncRNA from 1 species